rnacentral:sRNA from 1 species
GAAACUAUAUUUUAUUAAAUUGUCAGUUCAUACAUUUUCAAAUCGUUGAAAUUUUUUUUCUUGUAUUUGUGUAUUUGUUCUAUUUUUCUUGUAGUUAUGUAUGUAAAUGUGCUCAUUUGUCGAGAAAAACAAUUAUAUGGAUCAUUAUUUGGACAAAAAAGUGGGUAAGGAAAUCAAGGGAAAUGAUUAACUAGAUUAUUGAAAUUUGACAAAUUACUAUUUUCUGAUAUAAGUCCAAUUUACCCAAAAUAUGAAUGUCUUUAAGAAGACUUACAAACAUUGUUGGAUCUACCAGUAAUAGAGAGACAAUGGUCCAAACAGUUGCGUUUGCAAACAUUGCAAACGACUACCAAGAAGGACAUAUAUUCGACGCUUUUAGUUCUUACAACUUUCAUCUGCAUUUUAUCAUUGUUUCUUUAUUAAAAACUUUAUUUUUUCCGUAGUAGUAAUGCAGGGAUAUUUAUUAAUCUUUGAUAUUGAAAACAUAAACUUACUAAUACAGAUACUAGAGAAAUAUAUAUGAGUAUAUUGCAGACGCAACAAGCAUCCCCAAUAACAAAUUGUCGUAGUUCCAUAGAAUCGAUUAAACUCAAACUCGACAUGGCAAAUGUAGCUACGAAUACGACCUUGACUGACCUCGUAGAUGAUAUCCAUUGUCCUAAAAAAAGAGAAAACGAGUUGAAGAAGAGAGUGAAGAACGGAGGAGAGAAGAGAAUAGAGAGAAAAGAGGAAUUGUCGCUAAUGAUAUAUUUCUCAUAAGAGAAGGAAACAGGUUUAAAUACAACCACAUAAUUUGUAUGUGCUUUGAUACUAAAAAUGCACACAUAUAUUUGUAUAAGUACAAAAAUGCUCUUAUUGUAAUAAUCCAUGUAAUGAUGAAUAUCUGAGUGACAAACUAGUCAAAUUUACAUGUAUACUUAAAUACUUAAAAGAUAAAGUAGAAUAUUAAAACUCAAUUACUUCAACAAAGGAAGCAAAGAAAAGAGUGAAAUCCUUAUAAAAAUAUGAAAAAAUUAGCAUGGUUUAAAACCUAUCUUUUAGAUGAUAAUGAAUUAUCGAUAUAUAGAUGCAUGUAUACUAGUAUUAUGCAAAACAUAAGCAAAAUAUAAACAAAACAUAAGCAUAUUUUGUUUAUGUGUACAUCACCUCACCUAGAACUUGUUUCGCGAUGUAAACACUGUAAAAAAUUUUCAUUAUGUAGAGUAAAUAAUAAGAAGAUGAAGAAGGUGGUAAUAAAUAUAGAUAAAAAAAGCUGAAUUAUAUGCCUAAAUUAUGGGUUAUGGCUAGGUUUGUCAAAAUGGAUAACCAAAGGCAACUCAUUAUCCAAUGAAUUUAUGGUUAGAGUUAAAUGAGUUCAUGAGUUGACCCAAUUCAUUUAAUAAAAUGAAUUGGGUCAACUCAUGAACUCAUUUAAUUUGAUGGGUUGAAUUGUUAAAUGGAUUAAUCCUUUUAAAUAAUAAUUUAAACAAUAAU